rnacentral:rRNA from 1 species
CCUACGGGGGGCUGCAGUGGGGAAUCUUAGACAAUGGGCGCAAGCCUGAUCUAGCCAUGCCGCGUGAGCGAUGAAGGCCUUAGGGUUGUAAAGCUCUUUCGGGGGGGAAGAUAAUGACUGUACCCCCAGAAGAAGCCCCGGCUAACUCCGUGCCAGCAGCCGCGGUAAUACGGAGGGGGCUAGCGUUGUUCGGAAUUACUGGGCGUAAAGCGCACGUAGGCGGACUGGAAAGUCAGAGGUGAAAUCCCAGGGCUCAACCUUGGAACUGCCUUUGAAACUCCCGGUCUUGAGGUCGAGAGAGGUGAGUGGAAUUCCGAGUGUAGAGGUGAAAUUCGUAGAUAUUCGGAGGAACACCAGUGGCGAAGGCGGCUCACUGGCUCGAUACUGACGCUGAGGUGCGAAAGCGUGGGGAGCAAACAGGAUUAGAUACCCCAGUAGUC